rnacentral:rRNA from 1 species
UACAGAGGAGCCAAGCGUUGUUCGGAUUGACUGGGCGUAAAGCGCACGCAGGCGGUUGCGCGCGUGGGGUGUGAAAUCUGGCCGCUUAACGGCCAGGCGCCAUCCCAUACGGCGCGACUGGAGUGAUGCAGAGGUCGAUGGAAUUGCCGGUGUAGUGGUGAAAUGCGUAGAGAUCGGCAGGAACACCCAGGGGGAAACCAGUCGACUGGGCAUCUACUGACGCUGAGGUGCGAGAGCGUGGGGAGCGAACCGG